rnacentral:rRNA from 1 species
UACGAACUGUGCAAACGUUAUUCGGAAUCACUGGGCUUAAAGGGUGCGUAGGCGGCUACUUAAGUAGGGUGUGAAAUCCCCCGGCUCAACUGGGGAACUGCACAGGAAACUAGCGGGCUUGAGUUCGGGAGAGGGAAGCGGAAUUCCGGGUGUAGCGGUGAAAUGCGUAGAUAUCCGGAGGAACACCGGUGGCGAAGGCGGCUUCCUGGACCGACACUGACGCUGAGGCGCGAAAGCUAGGGGAGCAAACGGG